UUAUAGUUCAGUCGGUUAGAGCGUCAGAUUGUGGUUCUGAAUGUCGUGGGUUCGAAUCCCACUA
rnacentral:tRNA from 1 species